rnacentral:rRNA from 1 species
AAUAUGGCCCAUGGGAGGGAACUCUGUCUCAGCGACUCCGCGUGAGCGAAGAAUGUUUUCGGAUCUUAAAGCUCUGACCUUGGGGAAGAAGGUUGCCAUUUUUGGACACUUGACGGUACCCAAGGAGGAAGGCCCGGCUAACGUCGUUCCAGCAGCCGCGGUAAUACGUAGGGGGCAACCGUUUUACGGAAUUAUUGGGCGUAAAGGGUGCGUAGGCGGCCUUUUAAGUCAGAUGUGAAAGACCACGGCUUAACCGUGGGGUUGCAAUUGAAACUGGAGGGCUUGAGUAUCGGAGAGGGUAGUGGAAUUCCCAGUGUAGCGGUGGAAUGCGUAGAUAUUGGGAGGAACACCAGUGGCGAAGGCGAAUACCUGGACGAAAACUGACGCUGAGGCACGAAAGCUAGGGGAGCAAACA